rnacentral:rRNA from 1 species
AAUGUGACGAAUAUAUCGCUUUUCCUAACUUAAAAUAGGCGUCCGAAUAGGCCACAAACAUCACUGUGGAAUGACCUCUCAGCACUUGUUUCGCACGGUUAGGUGAAUGACUUUGAAUGUAGCUGGUACGCGUUUGGUUUGCCCAAGGAACAUCCGUCGACCAUCACUCCACUGCUUAACAGACGCAAUGUCAAAGUUACCAGUUCCAUUAGUUUUUUCUUAACAAUGGCAAUCCAAUCCACUAAAGUCAAAUGUGACCAAUUGUCGAAGGUUGCAGGGGUAUAAUAUUGGUGUUCCCCGUGCAUUCCCAAUCAGAAGUUGUCACAAUUUGCCGUUACUCAGCUGAAUCGGUGUCAUGUCAGAGCUUGAACAAUACACUUUCCUUCGCGACCACCAAGCUGCCAUCGGCAAACCUUUUGUCAUUUGCGAAGCAAACCAUCAUCGGCUCUCAAUUAGGUAACUGGUCCCGACAUCUUGCGUAAAAUCUGGCUACUGAAAAACAAAUUUCCGCAGUAGUUUCGGGAAAUGUUGCCAUCACACCGUGUAAUGUACUAUCCUUUCUUUGAUUCCACGUGGUGUUUGCAUUGACUAUAAUAUGUCUACUAGUUCCAACCGCUUUGAACAAUACCGUCCCAUCCCUGAGGUGGGCCUUACAACGGUGCUUUUGAGUGGAUUUGGGUCUCCGUGUGGCCCGUGUGCGAUAGCUUGCUAUGCCGUGUGUGGCUGUGUAUGGAAUUGAAUCGAGUGUAACUGUAGCCGUUGGACGUUGACGAAAUGAGCGAUUUGACCCCGUCUUGAACACGGACAAGGAAGGUCCUUAAACAUAUGUGCAAGUGUUAGGGUGAUGGAAACCAGCGCGGUAAUGAAAAGUAAAGGAUAGCGUACUGUCAUGAGGGUAGGAAAAUGCUGCGGACUUCGGUUUGCGGCGUGGCACUAUCGACCGAUCAUAGAACCCUCGUGGUGAAAGAUUUGAGUUCAGCACAUAUUUGGUAACCCGAAAAGAUGGGUGAACCUAUGCCUUGAAUAGGGUGGAAAGCCAGGGGGAAAACUCGGUGGAAGCUGUAGCGAUUUCUACCGUGCAAAUCGAUCGUUGAACUUGGGUAUAGGCGAAAGACCUAAUCAACCAUCUAGUAGCUUGGUUCCCUCGAAAUUGUCCCCUCAGGAAUAGCAGCAAACUUAUUACGAAUAGUUUUAUGAGGUAAAGCGAAAUGAUUAGAGGUUUCGGGGAAGAAACUUCCUCGACCUAAUUCUCAAAACUUUUAAAAUCUGUAAGACCUGCAGGAUUUCUUAAUUGAACUUUGCGGAUGUGAAUAUCAAGUUGCCUAGUGGGCCAUUACGGGGUAAAGCUCCGUCUGGCGAUGCGGAAUGAAACCUGCCGAACGCAAAGUUAAAGUGCCCAAAAUACUCGCUCACCUAGAUACCAUAAAAGGUGUUGGUUCAAUUUUAGACAGCAGGACGGUAGGCCAUGGAAGUCGGAAUCCGCUAGGAGUGUGUAACAACUUCACUGCCGAAUGAACUAGCCCUGAAAAAUGGAUGGCGCUUUGAAGCGAGUUAACUUAUAUUUGCCGUUAAAACGAUAGCAUUUUUAAUGUAGUGUUAAAAUGAGGUAGAGGCGUGGAAGGUCGUUAUGAAAGCCUUGUGGCGUGGAGCCUGAAGUGAAACGGCCUUUAGUGCAGAUCUUGGUGGUAGUAGCAAAAUAAUUUCAAAUGCGAACUUUUGAAAGACUGAAGUGGGGAAAAGGUUCCCGUGUGAUCCAGGUAAUUGGACACGGGUGAGUUCGAUCCUAAAGAAUUAGGAAAUUCCGUUUAAAAGCUUGGCCCUUGUUUUUGAGGCGUGGGGUUCGUCCUUUGCGUUUGUAUGGCGCCCUCGUGUACGAAAGGGAAUCAGGUUAAUAUUCUGAACCGAGACGUGGAAAUAAAUAUGUUGGUAACACAAACCGAACCAGGAACGCUUAGCGUGAGCCCAGGGAAGAGUUCUCUUUUUCUUUUUUAACAAGCAUAUCCUGCCUUGGAACCGGAUAUCCGGCGAUAAGAGGAAUCCCUUGGCAAGCACCUUUAAUUUUUGAAGUGUCCUGCGCGCCCCAUGGAGCCCCUUGAAAAUCCUGGGCUUAGAGAAUUAUUCGCCACCCUCGUCUUUCGUACUCAUAAACCGCCAUCAGGUCUCCAGGGUUAGCAGCCUCUAGUUUGAUAGAAGAAUGUAGAUAAAGGGAAGUCGGCAACAAUAGAUCCGUAACUUCGGGAAAGGAUGGGCUCUGAGGGUUUGGGGCCUAAGGGUCUUGCGGAAAGCUUGGUGGCGGCCUAACGUUUGGGGCUGCGUCUGGACCUUUCGAGGAAUCGGAUUGCGGCCUGAAAUGGGUCCGGGCUUGCUCUUGCUAUAUUUCGAUAGAAAGGUGGUUGGUUUUCGGACCGGAUGCCUUGUUUCCUUAAGUUGCGUUGAACAACCGGGCUUCAGAAACCUGGAGCGGACAAGGGGGAAUCCGACUGUUUAAUUAAACAAGCAUUGGAUGGCCGGAGACGGUGGUUGGCACAAUGUGAUUUUUCUGCCCCAGUGCUUCCUUGAAUUCCAAGUGAAGAAUUCAACCAAGCGCGGUAAAGGCGGGAAGGUAACUAUGACUCUCUUUAAGGUUAGCCAAAUGCCUCCGUCAUCUAACUAGUGGACUGCGCAUGAAUGGAUUAAAGAGAUUCCCACUGUCCUAAUCAUACUGGUCUAGCGAACCCCACAGCCAAGGGAACGGGCCCUUGGAUAAUCAGCGGGGAAGAAGAACCCUGGUUGAGCUUGAACCUCUAGUCUGAAGUUGUGAAUGACUUUGGGGGAGGUGUAAAGAAUAAGUGGGAGGCCUUUGCCGUCCGUGAAAUACACUACUCCAUGUUGUUUUUUUACUUAUACCAUGAUGUAACAACUGGUGCGGGCUUCGCGGCCCGGUUAGUUCUAGUAAUAAGCCCUUGAGGCUUUGCUCGAGCGAGUUUACGUGGAAGACAUCGUCAGGCGGGAGUUUUGGCUUGGGGCGGCCAAACAUCUGUUAAAUGAUAACACAAAGGUGUCCUAAGGUGAGCUCAAUGAAGAACAGGAAAUCUCAUGUAGAACAAAAGGGUAAAAAGCUCAUUGAAUUUUGGGAUUUUCAGUAUGAAUACAAACGUGAAAGCGUGGCUAUCGAUCCUUUAGUUAUUUUGAAAUUUUAAGCUAGAGGUGCAGAAAAGUUACCAACAGGGAAAACUUGGCUUUGUGGCAGCCAAAGCGUCCAUACGACGUUGCUUUUUUGAUUCUUCGAUGUCGGGCUCUUUCCUAUCAUGCCGAAGUAGAACUCGCCAAUUGUGGAUUGGUUUCACCCACCUAAUAGGGAACGUGAGCUGGGGUUUAAGACCGUCGUGAGACAGGUUAGUUUUACCCUACUGAUGAGUUCGUUGUCUUUAACAGUAAUCCAACCAGUUACGAAGAGGACCGUUUGGUUCAGGAUAAUUGGUACUUGCGGUUAGCUGAAAAGCUAGUGCCGCCAAGCUACCCCAUCUGGUAAGGAAUUAAUGGCUGAACGCCUCUAAGUCAGAAUCCCAUGCUUGGAAUAGAGAUUAAUCACCCUUUCCCCGAUGUAACGGCGAAUAGCGAAGGUUCUUUUAGGCCACCCAACAUCAAUAAAAUUGGCAACGCACUUCUGCUUAACUUGUCCCAAAGCUUGU